rnacentral:tRNA from 1 species
CUGUCCGUAGCUCAGUUGGAAUAGAGCAACGGCCUUCUAAGCCGUGGGUCGCAGGUUCGAGUCCUGCCGGACAGGCCA